UACGGAGGGUGCAAGCGUUAAUCGGAAUUACUGGGCGUAAAGCGCACGCAGGCGGUUUGUUAAGUCAGAUGUGAAAUCCCCGGGCUCGACCUGGGAACUGCAUCUGAUACUGGCAAGCUUGAGUCUCGUAGAGGGGGGUAGAAUUCCGCGUGUAGCAGUGAAAUGCGUAGAUAUGCGGAGGAACACCAAUGGCGAAGGCAAUCCCCUGGGCCUGUACUGACGCUCAUGCACGAAAGCGUGGGGAGCAAACAGGAUUAGAUACCCUGGUAGUCCACGCCCUAAACGAUGUCAACUAGCUGUUGGGGCCUUCGGGCCUUGGUAGCGCAGCUAACGCGUGAAGUUGGCCGCCUGGGGAGUACGGUCGCAAGAUUAAAACUC
rnacentral:rRNA from 1 species